rnacentral:rRNA from 1 species
CCUACGGGCGGCAGCAGUGAGGAAUAUUGGUCAAUGGACGAGAGUCUGAACCAGCCAAGUAGCGUGAAGGAUGACUGCCCUAUGUGUUGUAAACUUCUUUUAUAAAGGAAUAAAACGAGGCACGUGUGCCUUUUUGCAUGUACUUUAUGAAUAAGGAUCGGCUAACUCCGUGCCAGCAGCCGCGGUAAUACGGAGGAUCCGAGCGUUAUCCGGAUUUAUUGGGUUUAAAGGGAGCGUAGAUGGGUUGUUAAGUCAGUUGUUAAAGUUUGCGGCUCAACCGUAAAAUUGCAAUUGAUACUGGCAGUCUUGAGUACAGUUGAGGUAGGCGGAAUUCGUGGUGUAGCGGUGAAAUGCUUAGAUAUCACGAAGAACCCCGAUUGCGAAGGCAGCUUACUAAACUGUGACUGACAUUGAUGCUCGAAAGUGUGGGUAUCAAACAGGAUUAGAUACCCUUGUAGUC